AGCGAACGCUGGCGGCAGGCCUAACACAUGCAAGUCGAACGAACUCUUCGGAGUUAGUGGCGGACGGGUGAGUAACACGUGGGAACGUGCCUUUUGGUUCGGAAUAACUCAGGGAAACUUGUGCUAAUACCGAAUGUGCCCUUCGGGGGAAAGAUUUAUCGCCAUUAGAGCGGCCCGCGUCUGAUUAGCUAGUUGGUGAGGUAACGGCUCACCAAGGCGACGAUCAGUAGCUGGUCUGAGAGGAUGACCAGCCACACUGGGACUGAGACACGGCCCAGACUCCUACGGGAGGCAGCAGUGGGGAAUCUUACGCAAUGGGCGAAAGCCUGACGCAGCCAUGCCGCGUGAAUGAUGAAGGUCUUAGGAUUGUAAAAUUCUUUCACCGGGGACGAUAAUGACGGUACCCGGAGAAGAAGCCCCGGCUAACUUCGUG
rnacentral:rRNA from 1 species